GUCAACGUCCAUACCAUGUUGAAUGCACCGGUUCUCGUUCGAUCACCGAAGUUAAGCAACCUCGGGCGCGGUCAGUACUUAGAUGGGUGACCGCUUGGGAACACCGCGUGAUGUUGGCU